rnacentral:misc_RNA from 1 species
UAUUGAUUUUAUAGUAUUUGGUGAACACGUACUAUACGAACAAACAAAAAAAAUAUUUAUAGUCAAAAAAAAAAUUAAAUCA